rnacentral:tRNA from 1 species
AGCGGUGUGGCCUAACGGAUGGCGUACGGGCCUGGGAGUCAGAAGGACCUGGGUUCUAAUCCCGGCUCCGCCA